GCAAAAAUUAACAGAGUCGCCAUCGAUAUUUAUUUGUUCCUAAAGAACGGGGAAAAUGUCGAAUAAAACCCAUAAAGGAAAGGGAAUGGUCAUCGCAACCAUAUCGGGUUCGGGAGUCGGUUACGCGAGGGGAAGGUAUUAGCACCCCUCACGUCUGUUGUACUCAACGGGACCCAUUUAGUUAGUUAUGCGUUUGAGUUUUAGUGUGAAUUAUUUGCUAUCUUCUACUUAGUGAGCGAGAAAAAAAAAAUAAAAGACGGGUUUUUGUUUUUUAGUUUAUUGGGCUCGCCAAGACAUCGUGUCUUGUGCCUACGUAUUCCCUCGUGCAAUGGGAAAGUCAGAGCUCCGUAGUUCGGGGUAAAAAAACCACGGGUUUGUUGGUUGAUUUUAGAAGAAUGAUGCAUUAGACAUUUCGAACGUUUGAACUUUGACUUGUUUGCUCGUCUGAGAGGCUAAGUCUAUUUGUUCGUUCUUCGUGUCGAAAUGGCUAAGACACAUUCGUUUUGAAAAUAUUUUCGAAGAGUCGCACAAGGGCGAAAAAAGAAGUUUGAUGAGUUUAAGUUGUUUUUUAUGUGAGUGACAAGUAUUGGAUCACAAGUCUAGAACAACAAACGAUCCAGUUACUAGGAAUCAGAGGAACAAAAUGUGUUCAACCAAUUGUUUUCACCCAAAAGUUUUCUUUAUUAAAAUGGUGAGGUGAAACAAGGUUCACUUAUUAGAGUUUAUUGUGCAUGGAGGACAAAUAUUAAACCAUAAGUCUAAAACAACCAACGGUGUAAUACUUGGAAAUGGAGGAACAAAUGGUGUUCAACCAAUCUUUUUCACACCAAGUUUAUUAAAAAUAUUUUGAAGAAAAAAGAGCCACACAAAUGUUUAUGAGAAAUAUUUUAAUCAAGUACGUAUUAGCAACAAACUACCAAAUAAAUAAACUAAAAAAAAUGUGAUAAAAAAUAACGUGAGACGAUAAAAAUAAAUAAAGGUAAUAUCAGCCAUACAAAUAAAACUUAAACCUAUUUCUAAAAGCACUCCCUUAAUUAAAUUAUAAAAUUAAUUAUUUGAAAUCUAAUUCUAAUUAAUAAUUAUAAAUAUAAUUAAACUAUGAACUACUGUAUUGAUAUUUUUCCAAGCAAAAGAAAAGUGGUUAAGUUUAUAUUGAUGAAUCGUAAAAAUCUGCCAGAAUUCAAAUCCUCCUCUACAACUCUCAAUUUUCGCUCUCCUCUCUAUUUUCUCUCUCACAUAAAGCUCGUUGGGAAACAGGCCGACCGCCGCGCCGGAAAUCUCCCUACGGCGGCGGCAGCGCCGGUCUACGGCCGACUAUCAAAAUUCGACACCCUCCCCACUAAUUCCUAUCUUCUAAACCCAAAUAUGGCAUCAGACUCUCCUAAUUUCAAGCCUAAACCCUUCAAAUCAGAAUAAAACUUUGAACCCUAAAUUCAAAAAAAUCUUAAAUCGAACUCUGUCCCUGAAGCUAAUUAGCAAAUCCUAUCGGAUCUAAGAUUAUACACACAGAUACACACAACAUGGCAUGGAAAAAACAAGAAGAGAAUGAAUCAAGGUACCUGGUUCGACGGCGCCGGCGAGUCUCUUCGGUUUGGAACUUUGGAGAUGUCAUACGGGAUGCGCAUCCUCGGAACUCUUUCUUUAGAUUAACUCAAAGAUAGCUACCAAUGUUAACCAAAUGACUCAAGGAACAGCUUAUUCAAAUUUGUAAGAAAUUGAUUCAGUGUAGCAAGCUGUAACGAAAUUGAUUCAAAUCUUUAUUUUGAAGUCCAUGUAGCUCAAUGUAACAAGAUAAUUCAAAGAGUUUGUAAUGAAAAUUCAAUUUCGUAUUAUUUCCCAUGACUUGAACUUGUAAUAGAGAUUCAAAUAGGCAUUCCUUUUA